ACAACUGGCCUUGCAUAAGAUAGAGAUGAGCUGUGAGAUGAUGCUAAUAAUUUACAAUUUUACAUUUCCUUGCUUGGGACAACAUUAAAGAGCAAAUUGAAAACACCACUGCAAGUCAAGAGAGAGAGGGAGACUGGUGGCAAAAGGAAAGAAUAUCUUCAUAUAUAUUUUCACAGCCCUCCUUCCUGCUUUUUGGAAACAGGGACAUGUUUAUUUUGCUCUUGGCACCGCAAAUAACACAGCCGGCCCUGGUUAUGGAUCAUUCUGGACCAGCACUGAGCUUUGGAUCGCAAGGGACAGAAGCAGUUAUAUAUUUUUAAUAUCUUUAUUUACCUUUUUGUUUUGUUUUGUUUUUAACUGUGGUUUUUAGGGAGGUGUUCUGAAACACAUGCUGCAAGACAGGUCCUUGCUCAUGUCCAGGUUCAAGGACAAAGCUGAGGACAGCCUCUAAACACAAACCAAUGUUUACUGCCGGACACAGCAAGCAGCAACAACUUUUUCGGAUGCUGGAGGAAAACCUGCCUGUGUUGGUGAUACUAUGAAAAGAAGAGAACCUCAUGGAGCACCUAGUCCACAUUGAUUAAAACGAACUAAACUGAAGUCCAUCAAAUUGAAUCAUAUUGAAUAUAUCAACAAGAACUGGUGAAAAACACAUCCAACUGUCUACCAGCAAAUAACUGCAGCUUGCAAGAUCAACGUAGAAUUAUUAUUCGAAACCAGAAGCAACGCAACAUCCCUAAGAAAAGAAGUGAAAACCCACAGAAGUGGUUAGACUUGGAAGUUUAUAUACCAUUUUAAUAAAGCGUCAAUAAAUUGUGGAGAAGUGACUAGACAAAAGGAAGCAGGCCUUUGGGGUUCCAGGAGCAGUAAAUUGUGAAAAGGUGCGGAAGUCCAGCUGCUCAAAUAUUUAAGGGAAGUACCUGGAGUUGUCUGGUUUGCUUUGAUGGAGAACAGAGUCAGAAAGAAAGAACUGCCCACAGAAUGGAAAAAUGAGAAUUUGAGGUGUGGUACAUUUACGAAAGGUCAUCAGUGCUUUCCAAAAUUCCACUAGGAAAUAUGGAAGUUGGAAGAAGUUUGCUAGCUAGGGAUGACCCAUCCCUGGAAAUCCUAUCUCUGGUGAUUCUACGUAACAGCCCAACACCAUGCAGAUUUGCUCAGCCUUCUGGGAGAAGGUAUCAGCUUUUGCCAGGUAUACGUGUUAGCUCAAAUACACCUGCCACUGAUGAGUUUGAGGAAGAAGAGACACAGCUACUCCCUAAACGUGAGGAGUUCUGUAACAGAUAUGCAUGGAGGAAGACUGAAGUCAAAGAAGAGAGCCAGAAAAAUCAUCCAGAAGAAUCGAAGCUUUGCCUUUGAUGUCUUUAAGGCAAACUGAUCCAAAUAUUCCUCUGUGCUGCUCGCUGGAAAAAAAAAAAAAAAA